rnacentral:rRNA from 1 species
AUUGAACGCUGGCGGCAUGCCUUACACAUGCAAAUCGAACGGUAACGGGCCUUCGGGUGCCGACGAGCGGCGAACGGGUGAGUAAUACAUCGGAACGUGCCCGAUCGUGGGGGAUAACGAGGCGAAAGCUUUGCUAAUACCGCAUACGAUCUACGGAUGAAAGCAGGGGACCGCAAGGCCUUGCGCGGACGGAGCGGCCGAUGGCAGAUUAGGUAGUUGGUGGGAUAAAAGCUUACCAAGCCGACGAUCUGUAGCUGGUCUGAGAGGAUGAUCAGCCACACUGGGACUGAGACACGGCCCAGACUCCUACGGGAGGCAGCAGUGGGGAAUUUUGGACAAUGGGCGCAAGCCUGAUCCAGCCAUGCCGCGUGCAGGAUGAAGGCCUUCGGGUUGUAAACUGAUUUUGUACGGAACGAAAAGCCUUCUUUUAAUACAGGAGGGUCAUGACGGUACCGUAAGAAUAAGCACCGGCUAACUACGUG